rnacentral:lncRNA from 1 species
GCUUUCAUAAUACCCCACUAGCUCAACAGGAGUUGGAAUCCUUUACAUAAUCUAUAUCAUAGAGAUGCGUACGAUAGAAACUGGUGCUCAUUUGGUAAAUUUUCGCGAUGGGACCUUACUAUAGACUUAGAGGGAGACGGGUUCAAAUCUCAUCGUCACCAAUAUUUGAAAGGUUAGGGUAUUUCUAAGAGGGCUACCUUCUUUUUGGGAGUUUUUUUUGUCCAUUUAGCCUUCUUCCGUAUGAGUUAGAAUGCACGGGGUCAUGCACAUAUUUUUAAUAAAAGAUUAUUUACGAAUAAAGAGUUAAUAAGAUAUAAAUUCCAUGGUUAGGAUAAAGUUUUAUGGCCUUCAAAGACUUCUUUAGUCUUUUAGCCAUCACACUCGUAAAAUGUUAGAAUUAAAUGCACCUGACCAAAUCUUAUCCCCCUUGUUCUUUUCUUCCGUUCAUUUUUUAUUCAUCUCUUAUCCACAAUAAGGCAGUUACCAGGUACCCAACACCACUUCAACUUCAACAGGGACCUUAACCUGUUUGACAGCGCCUCAAGUUAUUAGUCCCCCUUUUCCUUGGAAUGAUAAUUCAAUGGUUUUUCCUUCGCCCAUUUACGAGUCACGGAAAAUAAAAAGGGCAAUCUUCAAAUAUUCUCCGCACCAUUUCCUACUGCAGCAGGUUGCUGCACGCCAACCCCACUAGAAAAGGAACCUUGCAUUUGAUAGGUUGAAAUAUAGAACCCACUUGAAGUGCCAUUCGAACAUCUGAAACAUGGUUGACUUGAUGAUAAUUUAGAUAAUGAAAUAUUGUAAUAUUAGUUAUGAUCAGGCAAAUCUAAAUUGGGCAGACAAAUACCCACUUUAAUAACAAUACAGCAGGCCGAGCUUCUUGUCAGGGAAAAGAGAGAAAAGAGAACUGAUACAGUAACAUAAAGAUGAGCAAGAACAAGAAGAGAAAAAGAAUCAGAAGGACAUAAUAACAAUAGAGAGAAGCUGGAUGUCCACAAAGGUCCCCUUAACAUAUUGUGAGCCAUCUGAAAACCAAUUAUAGCACAGGCCUCACAUCUUGCCACGAGGGUACAAACCAGACAGGCCGUGCUUCAUAAAGCAUGCAUAGAGUUUUUCCUUAGAUAUGCUUGCAAAUAUAGCAUUUUACCUUACGAAUAAUUUACCAACUUUGCUUCAUCUAGUGAUAUAAUGCAAGUAUAGGAUGAGCAAAAGGAUGACACUGACAUGCAGUUUAAAAUCAUCAAGUUUCUUUCAAAAUCCGAAGUAUUAUAGAAGCAAGGCUGAGCAAAAUGAAAGCUAUAAAAAUUAAAUUAUCACUCGUACAAGUAGCUUACAGGCACUGUACAUAUCAAAGGCAGAUGAGAACGUUUCAAUAACCAUAUGCAGUAUACAGUUAUCAGCAUAUAGACCUAGGCAAAGUCAGACACCUUACAAUGAUGAUAUCCAGUUCCCAAAUAUCAUAUGA